rnacentral:rRNA from 1 species
GCGAAGGCCAUGGUAGCAGCUGGGGUAAUCUGGAGUGUGCUAGUUUGAUUCGGAUUUUUUGGUGUUAGAGGUUCCGUAGGCGGAAUUGUAAGUAAGUAGUGAAAUCUCACAGCGUAGACUAGGAGCUGCCGUUGAUACCGCAUGUCUUGAGUAGAUGUGAAGUGGCUGGAAUAAGUAGUGUAGCGGUGAAAUGCAUAGAUAUUACUUAGAACUCCAAUUGCGAAGGCAGGUCACUAAGUUCUAACUGACGCUGAGGGACGAAAGCGUGGGGGGCGAACAGGAUUAGAUGCCCGUGUAGUC